rnacentral:lncRNA from 1 species
AAAACCCACGGGACCAACAUGCGAAAAAAUAAUUCACUAAGAGAAAAGAUUACAAGGUGAUUACCGACUCCACGGACUCAACCUCUCUUAACCUCCUAUGAAUCUUCGCGCUACCCUCCGGGUUGUCCACGCCCUCACGUCUGAAUCCACGAACGCCUCCACUUCGAAUCUACAAUACUCCGCUCCGAACUUCUUCAAGACUCCGACUCGACCCACGAAACUUGCCAACACAUAGGACCUAACAAAAACUCUUAACCCGGCUUAAG